AAUGAAGUGGCCGAAACUUGAAGGUAUUAGACUGUAAAUCUAAAAGUGAGUAUUACUACUCCUUCAUUA
rnacentral:tRNA from 1 species